AGUAGGUAGGUCAUUGAGGAUAUUGCUGUGAUUUAUGUCAGAGAGUGUUCUCCCUGUAUUUUCCUCUAAGCGUUUUAUAGUAUUAGGUCUUAUAUUUAGAUCUUUAAUCUAUUUUGAGUUUAUUUUUGUGUAUGAUGUUAAAGAAUG